CCACCCCACAGCAUAUGUAGUUCCAGGGCCAGGGGUCAGAUCCAAGCCACAGUUGCGACCUAUGCUGCAGCCAUGGAAACACUGGAUCCUUAACCUACUGUGCUGAGCCAAGGAUUGAACCUAUAUCCCACUAAUCCCAUUGCACCAUAUCAGGAACUCCACAAGCACUUUUUUUUUUCAUAAAUGAAAAGAAAUUGAUGUUUAGAAGCAUAGUUUCAGAGGAAUACUGUAUUGAGUACUUGAAAUACAGGAAAGUAAGAUAGCUUCUAGAGCUCAAAACUCUAUAUUCUGUUUAAACCUUUAAAGAAUUCUCAAAAGACAACUGCUUGUCCUACCUGGUGAGAAAUUCUUUCUUUUUUCUUUCUUUUGCUCCUCAGGGCUGUGCGUGUGGCAUGUGGACAUUCCCAGGCUAGGGGUCAAAGCGGAGCUACAGUUGCAGGCCUACACCACAGCCACAGCAACGCAGGAUCCCCCACCCACUGAUCAAGGCCGGGGAUCAAACCUGCAUCCUCAUGGAUAUUAGUCAGAUUCAUUCCCGCUGCACCACAAUGGGAAUUCCAGAAAUUAUUUCUUAUGUGAACUAGAAAAAAAAAAAUUGUCUUUGGUUUUGAUUAGGCCAUUUACACACCAGUCAAAACUGGAUAUAGUUUUAUUUUGUAUCCUAGACAUUGAUUACCUAAAGGCCCUAAAAUCUAUGGCAAAGGGGAUUUUUAUACUUAAGUUUAAAAUUCAGUACAUUCAAAAUGAAGGCAACAUCCUGCCUUCACUUUCGUUAGCAAUACAAAUAGGAGAUCUCAGAUGAGUUAUUCCAGGUUAGGUUUGACUUGCUUUUAAAAAUUGUGGCAUUUGGAACGUCUUCCUCUCAGCCUCCUCAGAUCUUUGGCCAGUUAUUCCUUGGCUCUGAUUAUCAGGAGUAAACAGGAGACUAAUCAGGAGAAUAAAUGGAUACGAUUAGAGGCUUGCCUCCAAUUAAGAAAGGAUGUCGUAUGAUACAAAAACGUAACAUGGCAUAGAAUGAUGACAGAGACCAGUUAAUAUUAGCUCAUUACAUUGACAAGCGUGUCAUAUCCAGACAGUACAGUCCUUUCAUGUUACAAAAGGAAGCGUUUGUUCCAUGGGUUAAGCUUGGCUUGAAAUAUUGGGUUAAAUAGUUAAAGAUUCCUGAGCCACUAGGACAAGAGGCAAAUGUCAGCACAUUAUGGCUAAUGACUUCCAUGGUUUCUUCCUCCCUCUGAGAAAGCUGUGCAGGAUUCUUAGGAGAAACGUGGCUAGGUAUAUUCAGAAAAACCUUACAAAUUGUAACUCCCAAAGGACAAGUAGAAUUCAUAUUAGGUAAAGAGAAAAGGAGGCAAACGUCAUAUGGAUGUAAACCAACUAAGCACUCUUAUUCUCAAAAACCAUGUUCUCCUUGCUUGAGGGUCAGUUUCCCUCCUUUUCCCCACUGUCUGCUCCACAGAGGACCUUACCUCCUUAAUGCACAUCAUUGGAUCUGGGUUUCCCUGUGAUUAUUUUGGAAACAAUAGAAUGCUGAAUAAAUAAUGCUGUGUGAUGUCUGAGCCUAGAUCGGAGAAGGUCUUACUGACUUUAUCCUAGUUUCUUGGAGCACUCUCUCUCUAUGAACCUUGAGCAACUAUGGAAAUGAGUGCUCCAGUUGACAGCGCUUGGAAUCCCCAAGUCAAGCCCUGUCCAAAUUCCUAACUCAUAAAGUUACAACAUAUAAUAAAAUGGUUGUUCUAUGCAACUAAGUCUUGGGAUUGUUUGUUACACAGCAGUAGAUAACCAAAGCUCUCAGUUUCCAUCUACUUGCCUUCCAGAUCUCAAUAUGGAUUUCAUGUCUUGGGGAAGCUUCUUCUGACGCUAUAGUCUGAGUUUGACAUCUCUUCUAGGUACUGUUCCAUAACAUCUGUUUUCAUAUUGUAUUGUAAUUAUCUAUUUAUUCUUCUCUGAGGUUAAGGAGAGCAAGGAUUGUGUCUGAAUUAUUCUUACCCUUAGAACCAAAAAUGCCUGAUAAAGCAGUAGGCAAUAAACAAGCAUAACCAACUGAAUCAAUAGAUGCAUUUAUUAAGCAGAUAAUAUUGAUCUCUUGCUCCACUGAGAAGCCCCUUACCAGUUACACUAUUUGAUAAUCAGCUUCCAAUUAAAGCAAUCAUGUAAAUAUAUCUCAGCAAAGUAUAAGGGUAACAUGCAUUGCACAAGCCACUUAACCACCUAAGUUAGUAAAAUACAUAGAAGAUUGAGAAAUAGAUCUGGACGGUGUGAAUUUUUUUUCUAAAUAUUUACUGAACUCCACUGUUCUGGAUUUUGACCAAUCAGAGGUGGAUUAAUCUUGCAUUAGUGCUAUUCUCAUAGGUUUUAUGGAUAAGAAGAAUUUUAAGACUGUGGAGGUUCAUGAUCUGUGUACCUUAAAUGAAAAAUGCCCUCUUGUAUCCUAUAAAUAAGACAUCUGUGAAGUGGCAGAUGCUAGCACAAACAAGUUCAUUUUGUGACAGUAAAACUGUCACAAAUACGUUUAAACUGAAAAUAUACAGCUAGGAAAAUUUUACAAGAUGCAGAUGUCAUGUAAGGCAGUGAAUUGGGCCAAAUGACCCAAAAGAUGUAAUGGGCAGGGAUUUUUAUGAAAUGAAUAAGAAAUCAGAGAAGGUGAAACACAUAUACAUACACAAUAGGAUGACCCUCCUGAUUAUGUCACUUGGCUGGUACCUAGAGUCCUCUGAAAUGUGGACUGUGUUUCCCCAAGCAUCUGAGCCUGACUGAAGACUCAUCAAGAAAAAGGCCAAAGGUCUUCGCAAGUGCUCAACCUUGGUAUCUCAGACAGGAGCUUUGAUAAGUCUCCUCGACCCAUCGGCAGUUGUUCUUAAUUUCUUGUAAGACCUCAGUGCCCUUCUGUCAUUUUGAGUCUGAGAGGGCACUCAGGGACCAAUGGUAUUACAGCUUCUGCCACACACAGCAGCCCCCACACAUUGCUUUCUCUGGGGGCAUUCUUUAGAAAAUGAAAUUCCAAUUCACGGACAUCCCACUUAGAGAUCAAGUUUUCCUACAACAUUCCUUACCAAGCAGUUCCUAUUAAAGAAAAUCACAGUAUAAGAACUGGACCAAUGUGACAAUGCAUUUUUUCUGAUAUACGGUAAAAUGUAAUAAACAUUGUUUUUAUAUCAUAGUUUACUUCUGUAUUUUCCCUUAAGGUCUUGAUUGUCUAUUGCAUGUUAUAUUAUUUGAACAUUAUCUAAGAGUAUAUACAGGAAGGAAAACCCCUCUGAAGUCAAUAUUAUCAUUCUAGGUUUUCCUAAGGUGAAAAAUUGAGGUACGGUUGAGUCGUCACAUGUCACAAGUUAGAAAAGAAUAGAUUACAGGAAUACUGCAUAAUAAAUUGAAGCCUUUUCUUCCACCAUUCCAUCCCUCCAUAUUCAUAAUUAUAUACAUUAGAAUUCGGCAGGAUUUAGACAUAUAAUUAAAAGUCCUUAAUUUAAAGCCAAGGCCUGGGAAAUUUAAAUUGUUUAGAUUCACAUAACUGGGGGCAGAGCACAUACUAUCUGUCAAUGUUUUUAUGUGUUCAUUUGACGUUUAACUUAUUUCUCAAUGAGACCCUGAUACUUAAACUUCUAGACCACAUAGAAGAGGAGGCAGAAUGCUUUAUAAAUUCUGUAUCCCAAACAACUAGAUACAAUGAACGGAGAUAUACUACUUCCCAAAAGAUUUUAUUUGCUCUCUAAAUGACACAGAAAAAAAUGAGAAGUAUUCACAAAUACCAACAGCCAAGAAUGGUCAGUUUUUCCCCCACAUGUGUUUC
rnacentral:lncRNA from 1 species